rnacentral:rRNA from 1 species
AUUGAACGCUGGCGGCAGGCCUAACACAUGCAAGUCGAACGGUAACAGGAAACAGCUUGCUGUUUCGCUGACGAGUGGCGGACGGGUGAGUAAUGUCUGGGAAACUGCCUGAUGGAGGGGGAUAACUACUGGAAACGGUAGCUAAUACCGCAUAACGUCGCAAGACCAAAGAGGGGGACCUUCGGGCCUCUUGCCAUCGGAUGUGCCCAGAUGGGAUUAGCUAGUAGGUGGGGUAACGGCUCACCUAGGCGACGAUCCCUAGCUGGUCUGAGAGGAUGACCAGCCACACUGGAACUGAGACACGGUCCAGACUCCUACGGGAGGCAGCAGUGGGGAAUAUUGCACAAUGGGCGCAAGCCUGAUGCAGCCAUGCCGCGUGUAUGAAGAAGGCCUUCGGGUUGUAAAGUACUUUCAGCGGGGAGGAAGGGAGUAAAGUUAAUACCUUUACUCAUUGACGUUACCCGCAGAAGAAGCACCGGCUAACUC